GGAAGAUGGGCAUGUUGUGGGUGGGGGUGGAGAACGGUGUGUCCCUGACCUGCCCUGGACAUGCUAACCUGGAUGCGCUGUUGUCUUGGCCUUCAGCGCCACGUAUUUUCCCUCGACAGUAACUUGGCAAGCUUUUCAUGUCACUCUGGCAUCGCUCAGAUUAUCAGCUACCCUUCAGAAAAAGAACCCUGCGUUUCGAUGGCUAAGGAACUCUGACAGGAAGAGGAGAAGUCCCGACUAGAGGAGGGGGCAGCAUUCAUCUUUUGGCACCGCACAUAGGAGCUGCGGAAGAAGCCCAGGAGCUCAUUCUCGAUGAGCGCGUUAUAGAUAAUCUUCAGAUUGUAAUUCCUCUGCGCGUCCAGUGUCCUAUUCAGCACCACCACUAAGACCUGGGUUUGCGGGUAGAGGAAAAAACCGGCCACAGGGACAGCCCCGAACGCCCGGUCCUCGGCCAGCUGCACUUUCUCCACCGCCACUCGGGAAGCGUGCAGCACUACGUAGCGGGUGGCGUUCCGGCACGCGAUCUCCACGUUGACCUCCCCGGAGAAGGUGAAGUUCUCCAUGAAGGCGGUGAGCAUCAG
rnacentral:lncRNA from 1 species